rnacentral:rRNA from 1 species
GGUCCUUGCUUUCGGCCAGUCUGCCCUAUUUCUGGGGUGGGUACUGUGCUAGGCAGGACUUUUUUUCUCUUCUGAAAAGCUGGCAUGCUCUUCACUGAGUGUGGCAGGGCUUCAGGACGUUUACCUUGAAAAAAUUAGAGUGUUCAAAGCAGGCAUGGGUUUUGCAGUUGAAUAGAUUAGCAUGGGAUAAUAAAGUAGGACAUUGGUUCUAUUUUGUUGGUUUCUAGGACCAAAGUA